rnacentral:rRNA from 1 species
GACAGCAGCCGCCACGGUAAUACGGAGGAUCCAAGCGUUAUCCGGAAUCAUUGGGUUUAAAGGGUCCGUAGGCGGUCUUGUAAGUCAGUGGUGAAAGCCCAUCGCUCAACGGUGGAACGGCCAUUGAUACUGCAGGACUUGAAUUAUUGGGAAGUAACUAGAAUAUGUAGUGUAGCGGUGAAAUGCUUAGAGAUUACAUGGAAUACCAAUUGCGAAGGCAGGUUACUACCAAUUGAUUGACGCUGAUGGACGAAAGCGUGGGUAGCGAACAGGAUUAGAUACCCGCGUAGUCCCUGUCUCUUAUAC